CACAGGCACUUUCUUUUCAGGGACAACUUCUUUUGGCACCUCAGGCACUUAAAAGAUAUUAGUAAAAUUACAUUUAGUAUUAUGAGAACAAUGGAGCAAAUAUUUUCAAGAACAGAAGAGUUAUGUGCUUUAAAGCCUAAGUUUCAUGACAAAUACCUUUAGCAGGUGGGACUUCUGGCUUUUUAGGAGGCAUCACAGGUACUUUCUUUUCAGGGACAACUUCUUUUGGAGCCUCAGGUACUUAAAAGAUUUUAGUAAAAUUACGUUUAGAAGUUGUGGGAGCACUAGAGCAAAAUGCUUUUGAGAGCAGAAGAGUUUUAUCUCCUUAAAUCUAAGGUGAGUGACAGCUACCUGUAACAGGUGGGACUUCUGGUUUUAGGAGGAGCCACAGGCACUUUCUUUUCAGGCACAACUUCUUUAGGAACUUCAGGAACUUUGAAGAUAUUAGUAGUUUUAUGGUUAGGUUAAUGAAGAGCAAAGGACUUGAAUCAUUCUCAAGAACUCAAGAGACAUUUCUUCUGAAGAAUGAAGUCAGAGCUAAAUUGUACCUGUGACAGGUGGAACUUCCGGUUUUUUGGGUGGCACCUUGGGAACUUUCUUUUCUGGAACAACUUCUUGGGGAACUUCAGGCACUUGAAAGAUAUUAGUAGUUUUAUGGUUAGGUUAAUGAAGAGCAACGGACUAAAAUCAUCCUCAAAACUUGAAGAGACAUUUCUUCUGAAGAAUGAGGUCAGAGCUAACAUGUACCUGUGACAGGUGGGACUUCUGGCUUUUUCGGUGGUGCCUUGGGAACUUUCUUUUCUGGGACAACUUCUUGGGGAACUUCAGGCACUUGAAAGAUAUUAGUAGUUUUAUGGUUAGGUUAAUGAAUAGCAAUGGACUAAAAUCAUCUUCACAAACUGAAGAGACAUUUCUUCUACAGAAUGCUGUGGGUCAACAUGUACCUGUGACAGGUGGGGCUUCCGGUGUUUUGGGUGGUGCCUUGGGGACUUUCUUUUCUGGAACAACUUCUUGGGGAACUUCAGGCACUUGA
rnacentral:lncRNA from 1 species